rnacentral:lncRNA from 1 species
AGCAAGGUGGCUGGCCGGCAGGCCAAUGGCGGCCAACGCCACUUCCGGCCGCCCUCCGAGCAUCGCUCUUCGGCAACCCGAAGCCACAGGAUGGAGGAGGGGGAUCCCAGCAAAGGUAGCGACUAAGGGGACCCAAGCAGAACGGGAGGGCGACGUCCGGAGCGGCGGCAGAGCCAGGGGACGCUGUGUGAGGCUGGCAAAGCGGUGUUCACCUAGUUCUCUCGGGCUCCGCCGCCGCCGGAGGAGGACAGGAGGCCGGCAAGGCGACCCCCAAAUCUUCCUAGGCUCUGACUUCCGUCUCCUAACCCCCGCAAAUUCCAACCCGGUCUUGGAAAAUCCCGCGAGAACGGGCUCCCGAAUUGUCAUUGGGAUCUCGCGAGAACGAAAUCUUCCUUUCUGUGGGCGGAGCAAUCUUCCCGAUGUCUCUUCCCUCUGAGGCCAGUAGCAGGAAGGGCCUCGGGAGUUGCGAGUGUCGCGAGGUUUGAGGUCGCUCGGUGGGCCGGGCGCUGUGCGAAGCUAGAAAUAACUGGGGGCAUGGAGAAUGCGGUGGCUGUAAAGGGCCGCUGAGGCGGUGGAGGCCUGGCAGAGAGCGUCCCCGCGGUCGCGGCUUCUGGCUUCUCUGUGGAGCUUGGUUCUUCCGUGGUGGUGCAGCACCCCAGGAACUUCAGGAACCAGUCCUUCCUUGGAGAGCUCCCCGGGACAGCCACGGGGGCCAAGUGAAACUAGCGCGUUUUCUUGGAUCCUACACUUUAUAGUGAGUCAUAAAUACUUUAAAUACAAAGCCAACAACAUUUGCUGCAAAUAAACGUAAAAAUACUGUUAAAGUGUAAAGUGUUUUCCUCCGUACCAUCUGACGUUUCUGGCGGUUCGUUGAACGCGAGAGAACGCUGAGCCGUCUGCACUGAGCCCGGGAGCAUCUUCAGGGCAGCGCCGCCCACGCGCGAGGUGAAUGAAGGACACGGCCUCUUGACACUCCCAGGCAGCACAGAUAGACGGAUCCUCUACCGCUGAUUGCAGCUGGAAAAGAUUCUGAGGGCUCACCUGAGUAAUCCAGGAUCAUCUUCCCAUUUCCAGGUCUCUGCCCUUGAUCACAUCAGCAGAAUCCUUUUGCCAUUGGCUAGAAGUGACCCCAGGAUUUUUUUAUUAUCAAGAGAGACUAGAAGAAUCAUGAGACUUUUCCUAGUUGCCUUUCAAGAAUAUGAAGAAAAAAAUGGUUCUCAAAGUGGGUUUGAAUGAGUAUUGUUCCAAUAAAUGAACUUAUAUUCAUAUUUC